CUGAGUGAGGGUGUUUCACGCCCGACCUCCAACCCUUUGUCUACUUAACCUUAUGUUGCUUCGGCAGGUCCGCCCGCGGUGCUCCAGCACCGUCGGCCGCCGGGGGUCUCACCACCCCGGGCCCGCGCCUGCCGAUGGCCCUCACCUAAUCUCGUGUCAAAACGUGACGUCUGAGCAAAACAUAUAAUCAACACA
rnacentral:misc_RNA from 1 species